UACGUAGGCAGCGAGCGUUGUUCGGAAUUACUGGGCGUAAAGAGUGUGUAGGCGGUGUUCCCAGUCUGUUGUGAAAUCUCCCGGCUUAACUGGGAGGGUGCAGCGGAAACUAGAAUGCUAGAGGGUGGGAGAGGUAAGCGGAAUUCCUGGUGUAGCGGUGAAAUGCGUAGAUAUCAGGAGGAACACCUGUGGUGUAGACAGCUUACUGGACCACUUCUGACGCUGAUGCACGAAAGCUGGGGGAGCAAACAGG
rnacentral:rRNA from 1 species